UGUGGUUUUCCCUAACUAGAGAUUACCAACACAUUUUCUUUCGAUGCUUUCGUGUGUGUUUGUGCGCGUGUGUGCGUGUGUACGAGUUCCUUGGUACCGUUCCCGCGACCAAAGCAAGGUCGGUGACCCAUUCAGCACGACCUUCACUUAGCUCCAAGCUCCGUGCCCAUACACACCAUAUUCUCCACUUUUCCUUUAUGAAAGUGAAUCGAAUAUUGAGCAUUCGAGUAGUUCUCAAGACGGCAGACAAUUGCUGAGCUCGGAUGCCUCUUAAGCAAACAAGCUUUGUCAGAAGAUACAGCCUGGACCAAUCCAAUGUUUUGUUGUUUUUUGAGGAUGCUCACUUAUUGGUUACCUUAUACAAAUUGUAAAUAUAUUGGUGAAAUGUG